CACAGAUGUUGGCAAAGCAGUCCCGUUCCUUUUCAUCCCAUCUGUGUGGCAGUUGGUAAUUAUAAACAAUAAUCAAGUGAGAAUGGUGUCUUGCAAGCUGAGAAGGAAUUACACUAACUAGGAAAGUCAACAGAAAAGAUGGAGUGAGAUUUGAGAAGCAUUCAUCACAAACUGAGUGCAGCCUAUGCAAACAUAAUGAGCUAAACUUGUGGUGAGCCAUAAUGGUCCAUGAAGUAGAUGUCAGGUUGUGACAAUGGUCAGUGAUGGAGUUCCUCUUCAAGACCGGCUAUGACUCUGCCACAUCGAUUCACAGGAAGUUGCUCCUUGUUUAUGAGGAGGACACAGUGAAUCACAUCAGUAUCCAGUGGUGGUUGCAGAGGAUUAAAGAAGGUGAUUUCUCUCUACUGGACAAUCCAUGAUGUGGUAGACCAUCGACGACAGUGAGUGAUGUGAAUAAGGAGACCAUUGAUCAAAUCAUACAAAAUGACAGAUGUGUGACGAUUUUUACCUCUUUGGUUAUCUAAAGGCCCACCUGUGUGGUAAAACAUUUGAUAGUGAGAAAGACCUUAUUUACUGUGUCAAGCUAUGGUGUAAAAGUCAAUCCCCAGAAUUUUACCAAAGUGCAUUUACAUCAUGGAAAGAAUGUUGAGCCAGAUGUGUAACAGCUGA